CCUACGGGAGACAGCAGUGAGGAAUAUUGGUCAAUGGCCGAGAGGCUGAACCAGCCAAGUCGCGUGAGGGAAGACGGCCCUACGGGUUGUAACCCUCUUUUGUCGGGGAGCAAAGCGAGUGACGUGUCACUCAUCGAGAGUACCCGAAUAAAAAGCAUCGGCUAACUCCGUGCAGGCAGCCGCGGUAAUACGGAGGUUGCGAGCGUUAUCCGGAGGUAUUGGGGUUAUGGGGUGGGCAGGCGGAUGAGCAAGUCCGCGGGAAAAUGGCGGGGCUAAACCCCGUACUGCCGUUGAAACUGCAUCCCUUGAGUGCGCGAGAAGUAGGCGGAAUGCGUGGUGUAGCGGUGAAAUGCAUAGAUAUCACGCAGAACUCCGAUUGCGAAGGCAGCAUACCGGCGCGCAACUGACGCUCAGGCACGAAAGCGUGGGUAUCGAACAGGAUUAGAUACCCCAGUAGUC
rnacentral:rRNA from 1 species